UUUCAAAUCCCCCAAAAUUCACGUUCCCCACUUCCCAAUUUUAAAAAUUCCUCCAACAGUAUCCUUUCCCUAAUUCUCUCAAUCCGAGCAGGAGAUUGGUUUUCCAUUGUUAACAUUAUUUGUUGCAGAGAAACACCUUUAAUUUGCGUUGAUAUACUGCAAUUGUCCUUCGGAUUCUCUCAUCCAAAACUGAAACUACCACUUAUUCAUUUACAUUCCCAAACUUUGAUUAUUUUCAUGUGUAUUGUCAUUAGAAUGCUACCCCAGCCCCUCAUUUGUUUUAGUUCUAUUUGAAUGUCUUUGCUUUUAGUAUUUGUUAGUUGGGUAUCUUGAAUUUCUUAAUGAUUGUACGUCCUAUUACACAUUUAAGCUUUCAAUGUUUGAUUUAUGUUUGUGGUUCGAGUGUAAUUCAAUUUACAUUGAAACCUUCUUCCUAGAAAUUGUGUGUCGAUAUAGUUGCUUCGUCGAAUAGAUAGGUUAUGCCGUAUUUCUGAUUGCUUGAAACUUGACUGGAUGAUAAAUCAAACAUUUUUGAACUAAUAGGGAGUGCUUGAACUUGAUGAAGGGUUGCUGGAAACAAAGGCAAUAGUGGAGCUUGAGGAAGGGCUGCUAGAAACAAAGGCAAUAGUUGAGGCCAAUGAAAUAACAAAACCUGACUAGAUGAAAAAUCAAACAUUUUUUAAACUAAGAGGGAGUAUUGGAGCUUGAUGAAGGGCUGCUGGAAACAGAUGAAAGAGUGGUCAAGCUUGAGGAAGAGCUGUUGGAAAUAGAGGAACAUAUGAUGUUGCUGCGAAAAUGAAGUUAACCAAGUAUUCUAAUGCGGAUGAGAAUGCAAUAAGGAGCUUCUAAGAGAAAACCUAAGUGAUUGAUAAAUUGUAUAGUCAUUUAGAACCUUUUUUGUAUUUUUUUAAUUUAAUAUGUAUACUUUGAUUUCAUGAAAAUUAUUACAUAAAUUAUUUAUAUAAAAAUAUGUUUUAUA